CGAGCUCGUUCGCGUGACCUCGUUUCGCUUUCCUUUUCGACCGGGUGAAAACCCUAACAUUCUACCCCAAUCCCUGCCCUUUCCCAUCCCCCAAUCGGCUGCCUCCUUCCUCCUUCUCGCGCGGCGGCGCGUCUGGAGGAACCGGCCUGAGAAGGAGCGGCCAGCCCGAGCGAUGGAUGUGCCCGUAGGGGGUCACCACGGCUUGGGCCGCCGAUUCGGGUGGUGGCGUUGGUGGCGGCGGGUGGAGGUGAGGCGGGAGCGGGCGGAGACGGGAUCGCGCGGGGCCGAUCAACGGCGGCGGCGACCGGAGGCGCGGGCGCGGCCGGAGACGGGCCGGCGCGGGUGGAUCCGCUCCGGCGACGACGGGAGGCGAUGGGCCCGUACGAGCGGAUCCGUGGCGGUGGUGACCGGAGGCGCCGGGCGCGGUCGAAGACGGGUCGGCACGGGGCGGAUCCGCUCCGGCGACGACCGGAGGCGAUGGGGGCGGCCGGAGACGGGCCAGCCGGAGGUGGAGGAGCAGCGAGGGGCGGCGCUAGGACGGUGGUGGAGGAGCAGCGACGAGCGCACCGGCCAUGGCGCCGCUCGUCGGAGCACAUCAGCAUCUCGUCGCUCGUCAAUAUUACUUACCCAUGUUAAGCUUGACACGGCCUGCCGAAGUUGCAAGUGGUGACUGGUGAGCAAGAGCAAAGUUGCUACCUUGCUUGAAGAGCUCUGUCCUGUCACCGGGAGGCCUCAUCCAAAUUGAUACCCAUCAACUUCUUUGGACUCGCCAAGGCGGCACCCCUCUCGGAAAAUCUGAGGGUUAUUAGGUCAUUUGAGACCUGAAUUAUAAGCACAGUCAUGUAUUUGUGACAAUUAUUAGAAGGAAAUGGGUCGAGAACUUGGAUGUGAGGGUGCCCUGGUGUGGGAGGCGCUGCGGCCUCGGCAGACCAGACGGAGUCCAAUGUGGAAGGGAGCAAGAAGGAAGGGACAAUUUUUUUCGGGUCGAUUGUUGCUGUUCUGGGUUGGUUACCACAUCAACUAGGUUGUGUUCUCCUUUAAGCUCUCGACCUCUUGAUGGCGCUGCUGCUACUGGUGACAUGGUUUUAAAUAGGGCAUCUUGGGUAAUGAUUUGAUUACCAAAGAUUUUGAUUUGCUAUGAAGGACACAAUUAUUUGAGCACGGAAGGCAACAAAGGUGUGAUCUCAUGAAGAGGGCAUUCUUUUAUGUGAUGUCAGAUCUAAAUUGAAUAUGAUUGAUGAAUGUUCAUUUGACUUUUGCGCAUAAUGGGUGUACAAUUAUUUAUGUUAGGUGCAUUCUCAAGCGUGUAUUUGAGCAGUGACGAUGAUCUUGCCGAUUCAACAGUACAUACCAUUAUGUUCUCGCCGGAGCUUACUCUUUCCUUUGAUGACACAAUCAAGCAUGUUUUGAUAGCAGGCGGCACCCCUCUCGGAAAAUCUGAGGGUUAUUAGGUCAUUUGAGACCUGAAUUAUAAGCACAGUCAUGUAUUUGUGACAAUUAUUAGAAGGAAAUGGUCAAGAUACUAGAUUAUUUUCUUUUAGCUAGCAUGGUUUGUUGAAGAUCUGUAUCAUUUACUGAUUCCAAAUUUUAAGAAAUGUUAGUACUGAGGCGAAGUUUUGCACCUGCAGAACUUGGAUGUGAGGGUACCCUGGUGUGGGAGGCGCCGCGGCCUCGGCAGACCAGACGGAGUCCAAUGUGGAAGGGAGCAAGAAGGAAUGGACAAUUUUUUUUCCGGGUUGAUUGUUGCUGUUCUGGGUUGGUUACCACAUCAACUAGGCUUAUUUGUGUUGCCUCAAACAUGAGACUGCUGAGAGUGUUCCUAGGCUGAAUAUGGCUGCUAUUUGGGUGCCAGGUGACAUGGUUUUAAAUAGGGCAUCUUGGGUAAUGAUUUGAUUACCAAAGAUUUUGAUUUGCUGUGAAGGACACAAUUAUUUGAGCACGGAAGGCAACAAAGGUGCAUGAUCUCAUGAAGAGGGCAUUCUUUUAUGUGAGGCUUGGUAUCUUGUCAUCCCUGCUGUCUGCGCUACUCAAGUGAAUGUCGGCGUGGACGCUGGCGCAUUCCCGGGGGUGCAUUUGAGCAGCGACAGUCAUCUUGGCGAUUCAGUACGCUGGUGAUCUAAUACUAGGCGUUGCCUGCUUGUCCGGGGCGCCCCUAGCGGGGGGCGCGAAUCAACAACGGAGGAGGCCAUGGAAGAGAGGAAGGAGGUGUGGAGAUGUUGUGGCAAGCAGAUGCAGUCAGCCAUUGAGCGCCGGCGGUAGGCUUGAAAAAAUAAUCUGCAUAUUAGCGACGACGAGGACAGCUUAUGCCAAGAUGCCAAUGUGAGGAUUUCCCAAUCCCCAUAUCUAUACAGUGGUAUAUUCAUCAAUAGUUUUUUUGGGUGAUGUGCUCUACGGAGAAGUCUGCCAGUGAGCAGAUUGUAUUUGUUGCUGAUGGCGCACAAGAAGUGACUCCUAAUGAUGACCAGGAGGGCCAAUCUGAUUUCAGGUCGAUAUUCGGUAACUGUCCUCCAUGAAAGUUUUUUUUAAAAAAGAAAGAAGCAGUUGAUCUUUGCGGGUGGUGUGAAAAAGCAUGUAUCUGGCUUGUGCCUGUGAACUGAGGUGUUUGGAAAAGCAUGGUCAAAUAGUCAGUAUCUUGAGGUCAUAAUUAUCCCCUGUCCACGCAUCCACUUCAGUCUCUCAGUCUGUCCGAUAGUGAGAUGUCUGUCAUUUUUUCUAAUGAUCUAUGUUAUGUCUUAAUUAAAGAAACCAUACUGAGCUAAAAUUUUCACUUGCUGUCGUAUAUUCAUCAAUAGUUUUUUUGGGUGCUAAUAUCAAGUAUCAAUGCCUAAAGUAACUUUUUUACUCUGCCAGUUUGUCUCAUAUGUACAAGAUUGUUCAAAAUCCAUGGUGAUUUUACCUCCAGUUGUAUUCCUGAGCAUGACUAUUUUUCUAUCUCCGUGCAUUAUUAUCCGCUAGAUUAAACAACUUGUGUAUGUCGAGCUGAGAACUUUCUUUCGCUAAGAGGAAUUAUGUUAUGCCUGGGUGAGCUGGCAGUAAUUCGUGCAGAUUUUACCACCACCGUGUAGCUUAGGGGCGUCACCAUGCCUUCACCUGCGGGAACUUGGCUGAAAGUGAUGGAGAGGAUAAUAGGUAUAUUUGACGGCGUUGCCAUCUGUCCUUAAGGCCAUGGGAAAAUUGAGCAGCAGGUGCCGCUGAGGUCGUAUACCUCACAAUGGCCAUGGAGGUUAUGCACGCACUGUUGAUGAUGAGGCUGAUGUGAUAGGGUUGAUGAUGAGGCUGUCGAGAAUAAGCCACACGCAGCCAAGAGGGCCUUUCCUAGAGGUAUUGUGACUGCCCGUGUACUUUUCAUAGUUGAUUGGUGUAGCAAAUCUGAAAAUUUGAGAUUGGUUCUGAAAUUUGGGAGACGAUGGCUUAGAUUUUCUGUCGGUCACCCAAUUGGGCAGAAGAGAAUUUAUUAGUGAUUGGUGAUGAAUUGCUGGAUUUUCUUGGGGUUACUCCUAUUUCUGUAUGGGUUUAUAGCAGACUAGAUGUGCUAUUCUGCAAUGAUUUUGGAUAAGGGGCCAUUAUUUCA